UUCAUUCAGGAUAGAGAUGGCCUGAGGUCAGUUGGUGAAGGAUUCAUUCAGGAUAGAGUUGGCCUGAGGUCAGUUGGUGAAGGAUUCAUUCAGGAUAGAGUUGGCCUGAGGUCAGUUGGUGAAGGAUUCAUUCAGGAUAGAGUUGGCCUGAGGUUAGUUGGUGAAGGAUUCAUUCAGGAUAGAGUUGGCCUGAGGUCAGUUGGUGAAGGAUUCAUUCAGGAUAGAGUUGGCCUGAGGUCAGUUGGUGAAGGAUUCAUUCAGGAUAGAGUUGGCCUGAGGUUAGUUGGUGAAGGAUUCAUUCAGGAUAGAGUUGGCCUGAGGUCAGUUGGUGAAG